AAUAGGCAGUGGCUUGGUUAAGGGUAUUCAUCGGAGCCGUAACGAAAGCGAGUCAUAGGAUAAUUGUCACUGUUGAUGGACCCAAAUUUGGGUGAUUUAUUCAUAUCGGGAUAAAGCUUGGAUGAAACUAAGUGGAGGUUCGAAUUGACUGAUGUUGAAGAAUCAGCGGAUGAGUUGUGAUUAGGGCUGAAACACCAUUCAAACCUAUAGCUAGCUGG
rnacentral:ncRNA from 1 species